AUUGAACGCUGGCGGCAGGCCUGACACAUGCAAGUCGAGCGGAUGAGGAGAGCUUGCUCUCUGAUUCAGCGGCGGACGGGUGAGUAAUGCCUAGGGAUCUGCCUGGUAGUGGGGGACAACGUUUCGAAAGGAACGCUAAUACCGCAUACGUCCUACGGGAGAAAGUGGGGGAUCUUCGGACCUCACGCUAUCAGAUGAGCCUAGGUACGAUUAGCUAGUUGGUGAGGUAAAGGCUCACCAAGGCGACGAUCGUUAACUGGUCUGAGAGGAUGAUCAGGCACACUGGAACUGAGACACGGUCCAGACUCCUACGGGAGGCAGCAGAGGGGAAUAUUGGACAAUGGGCGAAAGCCUGAUCCAGCCAUGCCGCGUGUGUGAAGAAGGUCUUCGGAUUGUAAAGCACUUUAAGUUGGGAGGAAGGACAGUAAGUUAAUACCUUGCUGUUUUGACGUUACCGACAGAAUAAGCACCGGCUAACUUCGUGCCAGCAGCCGCCGUAAUAC
rnacentral:rRNA from 1 species